GGAGAGGUGGGUGAGUGGUUGAAACCGGCGGCCUUGAAAGCCGUUGAGGUCGCAAGGCCUCCGCGGGUUCGAAUCCCGCCCUCUCCG
rnacentral:tRNA from 1 species